GUCAGUGUAGAAAGCCCAGGCAUUGUCCCAUAGCUGGCCCUGUGUGUUUGCACUGAUUCCUCAGAAUAAGUUUGCAGAUAGCUUAACUUCCAGAAUUCCUGAGUUUCACUAGUCCCCCUUCUUUAUGAUGAAUUGGAAAAAGGGUAUAUUCUGGGAUAAAGCAAGAGGAAACUGGGUGCAGCAAAGAUCCCUAGACCAUUUUUCCCAGUGGCCCAUUGCUCCUGCUGCUUUUUUCAUACCAGCUGAAUCUCCCUAAACCCCACGUCUGCGGCAAAGUCUUCGUGGUGAAACAGGCAGUCUUCAGUACAAGAAGCGUCAAUCUCAGAUCUUACUCAUUUCCAACCUGUACCAAUCAAAGGCCCUCCCAGCCAAGAUAAAAGCAAAGUCUCCCUCCUCCAGAGCACAUGGGAAUGGCCCCCCAGUAGCUGGGGCAUGCAAGCUAAUGAAGUUUCAUCUUCCACCUCUAUCCAAAUAUGACCUUGCUGAUACCAUCUCCUAUUAGAUGACAAAUCCGGAUGUUUCUAUUGCAUGGUUGUUAUUUGCCACAUGCUUCCUGGACAAGUUUCUAGCCAGCUGCCAUGUGUCAGGACACUCAGGCAGCCUGUGGAAAGCUGCACAUGGUGAGGAACAGAGGGCUCCAGUCAAACGACCAAUGCCAACAACCAU
rnacentral:lncRNA from 1 species